GCUCACUUCGGCAGCACAUAUACUAAAAUUAGAAUGAUACAGAGAUUAGCAUGGCCCCUGCUCAAGGAUGACAUGCAAACUCAUGAAGUAUUCCGUAUUUUU